UGGGGAAUUUUGGACAAUGGGGGCAACCCUGAUCCAGCCAUGCCGCGUGCGGGAAGAAGGCCUUCGGGUUGUAAACCGCUUUUAUUUGGGAAGAAGGAGUAGGGGCUAAUACCCUCUAUGACGGACGGUACCGGAUGAAUAAGCACCGGCUAACUACGUGCCAGCAGCCGCGGUAAUACGUAGGGUGCGAGCGUUAAUCGGAAUUACUGGGCGUAAAGCGUGCGCAGGCGGUUCUGCAAGUCAGCUGUGAAAGCCCCGGGCUUAACCUGGGAACGGCGGUUGAAACUGCAGGACUAGAAUCUGGCAGAGGGGGGUGGAAUUCCACGUGUAGCAGUGAAAUGCGUAGAGAUGUGGAGGAACACCGAUGGCGAAGGCAGCCCCCUGGGCUAAGAUUGACGCUCAGGCACGAAAGCGUGGGGAGCAAACAGG
rnacentral:rRNA from 1 species